GGGAUUGCCUCAGUAACGGCGAGUGAAGCGGCAACAGCUCAAAUUUGAAAUCUGGCCCUUUCGGGGUCCGAAUUGUAAUUUGUAGAGAGUGCUUCGGGCGAGGCCUCGGUCUAAGUCCAUUGGAACAUGGUGUCAUAGAGGGUGAGAAUCCCGUAUGCGACCGUGGCUCGAGCCCAUGUGAAGCCUCUUCGACGAGUCGAGUUGUUUGGGAAUGCAGCUCAAAAUGGGUGGUAAAUUUCAUCUAAAGCUAAAUACUGGCUGGAGACCGAUAGCGCACAAGUAGAGUGAUCGAAAGAUGAAAAGCACUUUGGAAAGAGAGUCAAACAGUACGUGAAAUUGUUGAAAGGGAAGCGCCUGCAACCAGACCUGCCCGUAGGCGAUCAGCCGCUGUUCUCAGCGGUGUACUCGCUCUGCGAUCAGGCCAGCAUCGGUUUCGGCGGUCGGAUAAAGGCCUUGGGAAUGUAGCUUCCCUUCGGGGGAGUCUUAUAGCCCUCGGUGCAAUGCGGCCAGCCGGGACCGAGGACCGCGCUUCGGCUAGGAUGCUGGCGUAAUGGUUGUAAGCGACCCGUCUUGAAACACGGACCAAGGAGUCUAACAUCUAUGCGAGUGUUUGGGUGUCAAACCCAUGCGCGGAAUGAAAGUGAACGGAGGUGAGAACCCUUAAGGGCGCAUCAUCGACCGAUCCAGAUGUCUUCGGAUGGAUUUGAGUAUGAGCAUAGCUGUUGGGACCCGAAAGAUGGUGAACUAUGCCUGAAUAGGGUGAAGCCAGAGGAAACUCUGGUGGAGGCUCGCAGCGGUUCUGACGUGCAAAUCGAUCGUCAAAUUUGGGUAUAGGGGCGAAAGACUAAUCGAACCA
rnacentral:rRNA from 1 species